rnacentral:SRP_RNA from 1 species
AACCCCCCGCGUGGCGGCAUCUCGUGAACCUCCCCAGGGCCGGAAGGCAGCAAGGAUAAGCGAGCUCUGUCGGGUGCGCGGGGGGCCUCUU